rnacentral:tRNA from 1 species
GCGAAAGUGGCGGAACUGGCAGACGCGCUAGAUUCAGGGUCUAGUGGUCUCACGACCGUGAGGGUUCGAAUCCCUCCUUUCGCACCA